AGCGGAGUCAGGUUGCGGGUCCAGGAUUCCCUCCAGGUUUUGAGCUCCGGGCUGGCGCUGGAUGCUCCGAGAAGGCGGACGUGGAGGGCAAGUGAGCUCUUCAAACCCAGUGGAUUUUCAGGUGUCAAGGAGAGCUGUGAUAAUUCAGUGACCACCAGGGGGCAUCAGGACCUCUGGGUGUCCAAGCCAACGAAGUCCACACUGAAUAAAAAUGAGGCUAAAAACCUUACUUUAUGGCAAGAGAAGAAUCCGUUAUUUCAGGCAGGGGGAGCAACACGACAAACGUGCAGAGCAAGCACCUUGUGAAAUGAGCUCACAGCACUGGCUACAGCAUGAAGUUCGUGAGGAGUGCUGGCAUGGUUUCAUGAAGCAAGUUGACACCUUGGAAAUGUCCACACUCAAGGAACUGAGAGUUCCCUCUGGCCAACUACCAGUGAGAAACUGAGGCUCUCAGUCCAAC